rnacentral:rRNA from 1 species
AACGAACGCUGGCGGCAUGCCUAACACAUGCAAGUCGAACGAGACCUUCGGGUCUAGUGGCGCACGGGUGCGUAACGCGUGGGAACCUGCCCUUAGGUUCGGAAUAACUCCCCGAAAGGGGUGCUAAUACCGGAUAAUGUCUUCGGACCAAAGAUUUAUCGCCUUUGGAUGGGCCCGCGUUGGAUUAGCUAGUUGGUAGGGUAAAAGCCUACCAAGGCGACGAUCCAUAGCUGGUCUGAGAGGAUGAUCAGCCACACUGGGACUGAGACACGGCCCAGACCCCCCCGGGGGGCAGCAGGGGGGAAAUUGGGAAAUGGGGCGAAAGCCUGACCCCCCAAUGCCCGGGGGGUGAGAAAGGCCUUGGGUUUGAAAAGCUCUUUUCCCCGGGAUGAUAAUGCCGGGCCCGGGAGAAUAAGCCCCGCCUACCUCCGU